UUAAAAAUAGAGUCUAAAAGCUCUUGAACCCAUUGUGAACCUAAAAAAACUGUCAGUUGCUUCGGCGGGAGGCCCCUGGGAGGGGCCCCGGGGCCCGGCCUGAGCCGGGCUCCCGCCGGAGGAGCGCAAACCGAAAACUCUUUGUUAUCUCUAGUGGCAACUCCGAGUUAAAAUAUAAAAAAAAACAAGUUAAAACUUUCAACAACGGAUCUCUUGGUUCUGGCAUCGAUGAAGAACGCAGCGAAAUGCGAUAAGUAAUGUGAAUUGCAGAAUUCAGUGAAUCAUCGAAUCUUUGAACGCACAUUGCGCCCGCCAGUAUUCUGGCGGGCAUGCCUGUUCGAGCGUCAUUUCAACCCCUCAGGCCACCGCGCCUGGCGUCGGGGCGUUCCCUCCCCCCCGGAGGGAAGCCCCCAGAAACAGUGGCGGACCCGCCGCGGCUCCGAGCGCAGUAGUAAAAUUCUCGCUAUGGAGGUCCGCCGGCGGGCACCGGCCGUAAAACCCGCGGGCCCUUCUUUUGCGGCCCCGCACCCACAAGGUUGACCUCGGAUCAGGUAGGAAUACCCGCUGAACUUAAGCAUAUCAAUAAGCGGAGGAAAAGAAACCAACAGG
rnacentral:rRNA from 1 species